GACAAGCUGUACACAGCAGUACCGCAUCUCAAUGAGCCUGACUUGCUGACUGUGAUGGUUACCAUGGCAGCCAUGUUACGGUUGAGAGAAAUAUUGAUUACCCGAAGGAAUGGGCCUUCACUCAGACAUACCCCAAGAAUGCAAAGAAAUGGAAAACCUUGGGAGUAAGGAAAAUGCACUUCAUACGGCAUUUGCUGAAAAAAGAAGCACCUUUAAUCGAGAGCUAACAGGGCAGCUUUGCAGGAAUGCAACACCUGGAUGAGAGCGUCACAACUGAGUGAAGUUACAGUGAAUGUGCUCUUAACAAACUAAGCAGGCAGAUUUUACAAGCAGCAGCACUAACAAGAAGCUACCAAGUAAACCGCAGAACUGACACAAUGCCAGUGAGGCCAACUGACCCCUCACCUCACGGUCUCCAGCCCAUAAAUUCUGAGCUGGAUGGAAAGAGAUGUUCUUUCGCUGACUGAGCAACCUGCACGAUGGAGCUCCCUAACCAUGCCCAGAGAAGGAGACAAGCCUUGUCGCUACAAGCCCCCGAGAGGCUAUUUUGUUGAAAUUAUUGGUUUUUUUUUACUUGCACCAUUGAGCAUUAAAGAGACUUUGAAUUAAGCAGAAACGGUUGGGUUGGCACCCCAACAAUCAUUUCUGCGGAGUUGUCAUUCCUUGCAUGACCACGACCAUUUUUGUUUUCAGAUAGAGCACUAUUUAUCAUCUAUGAAUGACAAUUCUUAUUUAAGGGUUCCACCAAAUGCAACAUACUGAUUGGCUUUGUCAACAAUUGAAUAUUUUUUAUAUGAACAUUUUUGUGGCUACAGCGAAAGCAUAGGCAGCAUCUGAACAGGAAGUAUAAUCUGCAAUAUGGCUCAAAAAAAUCCUAAACACAUAAUUAAAAUUUGAAAUUGUCUUAAUGAGAAUAUUAGGCACUUGAAAAGAUCUGUCAUUAUAUACACUGUCACGCAUAGGGAGCCGCGUAAAGACCCAAUGAGCAGCGUAACAUAUCAUGCCAGGGGACAAAGGCAGGGUACUAACUUCUCUUUCUUUUGUUUUUGCAGAAAGACAGAAACAACACCGCCAUAGUCUACAUAGAAUUCCCUAACCACACGCCACCACUUCUGCAUUUUCCCCUGGUCCACCUUAGAUGACAUCAAGGCUCCCAUACAGCACCUCGGUUCCUUCCCAGCAUUCUAUUCAUCAAUUUCCGGUCCCACCCCAUAAAUGUUCCCCCUCAUCAUAUGCACACUGUCUGUUGUAUGCUUUAUGCUUAAUCACUGACCUUGGAGAAAAAAUAUUGCAAACUGUACAGUAUACAGGGCCAGAAAACACCAAAACUUUAUGUCUGUUUAUUACAACACAUACAUAUUUCAACAUGUCUUGUUUAAAUAUAUGUGUUUUAAAGAUGUCUCUGGCACAAAUGAAAUAAGAAAGAAGACAUUCUGUCAUUCGAUACUAAAUAACCCAAGCAGGAAGGAUUAACAACUGUGUCAGAAUUUGGUUCUGUCUGGCCUCCUGACAUAUACAAAUCCUCUCCCUCACUCUUAAAGUGAGUGUGAGCGUAAGGCUGACUGGGCAUGUGUGUAACUCACCCCAAAGGCCAUUCGUAUCUUAAAAAAAUGUUUACACUUUAUUUUCUGUUUUGUUUGUCCAAAGUUCUAUUCAGGGCUUGGAAUUUGUGGCAUUUCAGAGGAGGAUUUCCUUUUGGACCAAUUCACAUCAGAAGAAAAGUCAAUAAUAGCAUGAUCACUGUCUAGAUCAAACAGACUUCUCCACUUCUCACUUCUCCAGUUCUAUAUCACCUGAACAGAAACCGACAUAAAGCUCCUCCAGUUCCUGCACUUCCUUCCUAGCCAUGUCUCCUUCUGAUCUUACUUCCAGCUUGACCCCUCACAGAGCCGCCUCUUUUUCCCCAACAACAAUAAAAGCUGAGCACCUUCUCUUCCUUUCCUGUCCCUAUUUGGAUGCUGACCUUGACAGUUCUCUGGAGCUAAUUUUUUUGUUUGCAGUGUGCACAAUA